CAGCUCUCUCUAAGAGGAGACACAGGACUCAGACUGAGGCAGUUUAUGAAGAGAUUGAUCACAGACACACAAACACACACAAACACUUCACUCAGAGAGAGGACAUACUAGAUGAUUAUGAUGAUGUCAUCAUUAUUGGACAGAGUUCUCGAGCUGUAACAGAGGACGUUCAUGAGGAGUAUGAUGAUGUGAAAAAUAUCAGUGCAGAUGUGAGAAGGUUGUUG